AGCAAGCUGUGCGGAGAAAAUAAAAUGGACCGACUUGGAAGAGAGGGCCUUCCGAGACUUGAAGACAACCCUCUCUUCUCAACCCGUCUUACAGGUGCCAGACUUCAAUAAACCUUUCAUGGUACAAACUGAUGCUUCAGACACUGGAAUUGGAGCCAUACUCUCGCAAGAAAUUGAAGGACUGGAGCACCCUAUUCUGUAUAUCAGCCAUCGCCUGAGGUCGGGGCUGAUCUCAGGGGAAGGGAAUGUAAGAGGACAAGCUGACCCGCUAUUGGGAAAAGCCUAUGCAGCGAAACAAGGAGACACAGGUGAACUUCAUCGGGAAACAGGAUAUAAAUGCCCCAGAAGCGAUGAGCCGGGGCGGAAGCCGAUAAGGUGAAAGCGUUUCAGAGGAAGGAGAGAUUUAGGAGUGUGCUGGAAGGAAUUUAAGAAUAAAGGACUAUUGGAUACGG